rnacentral:rRNA from 1 species
UACGGAGGAUGCGAGCGUUAUCCGGAUUUAUUGGGUUUAAAGGGUGCGCAGGCGGCACGGCAAGCCGGCGGUCAAAUCGCGGGGCUCAACCCCGCCCAGCCGUCGGAACUGCCGGGCUAGAGUGGGCGAGAAGUGCGCGGAAUGCGUGGUGUAGCGGUGAAAUGCAUAGAUAUCACGCAGAACUCCGAUUGCGAAGGCAGCGCACCGGCGCCCUACUGACGCUCAGGCACGAAAGCGCGGGUAUCGAACAGG